rnacentral:rRNA from 1 species
AUACAGGGGGUGCGAGCGUUAAUCGGAAUUACUGGGCGUAAAGAGUACGUAGGCGGUUGCUUAAGUCAGAUGUGAAAGCCCCGGGCUCAACCUGGGAACUGCAUUUGAAACUGAGUGACUAGAGUUUAAGAGAGGGGAGUAGAAUUCCGGGUGUAGCGGUGAAAUGCGUAGAGAUACGGAGGAAUACAAGUGGCGAAGGCGGCUCCCUGGCUUAAAACUGGCGCUGAGGUACGAAAGCGUGGGUAGCAAACAGGAUUAGAUACCCCAGUAGUCC